GUACUCCCCAGGCGGAGUGCUUAUUGUGUUAACUGCGGCACAGAAGGGGUCGAUACCCUCUACACCUAGCACUCAUCGUUUACGGCGUGGUCUACCAGGGUAUCUAAUCCUGUUUGCUCCCCACGCUUUCGCGCCUCAGCGUCAGUUACAGUCCAGAAAGUCGCCUUCGCCACUGGUGUUCCUCCACAUAUCUACGCAUUUCACCGCUACACGUGGAAUUCCACUUUCCUCUCCUGUCCUCAAGAUGCCCAGUUUCCGAUGCACUCUCAGGGUUGAGCCCUGAUCUUUCACACCGGACUUAAACAUCCGCCUACGCGCCCUUUACGCCCAAUAAUUCCGGACAACGCUUGCCCCCUACGUAUUACCGCGGCUGCUGGCACGUAGUUAGCCGGGGCUUCCUCCUUGGGUACCGUCAUGUCCCUUCAAUAUUCUCAAAGAGACCGUUCUUCCCCAAAGACAGUACUUUACAAUCCGAAGACCUUCAUCAUACACGCGGCGUUGCUCCGUCAGACUUUCGUC
rnacentral:rRNA from 1 species